UACGUAGGGGGCUAGCGUUGCUCGGAAUCACUGGGCGUAAAGCGCACGUAGGCGGCUUUCUAAGUCAGGGGUGAAAUCCUGGAGCUCAACUCCAGAACUGCCUUUGAUACUGGAGAGCUCGAGUCCGGAAGAGGUGAGUGGAACUGCGAGUGUAGAGGUGAAAAUUCGUAGAUAUUCGCAAGAACACCAGUGGCGAAGGCGGCUCACUGGUCCGGUACUGACGCUGAGGUGCGAAAGCGUGGGGAGCAAACAGG
rnacentral:rRNA from 1 species